UCGAGCGGACAGAAGGGAGCUUGCUCCCGGAUGUUAGCGGCGGACGGGUGAGUAACACGUGGGUAACCUGCCUGUAAGACUGGGAUAACUCCGGGAAACCGGAGCUAAUACCGGAUAGUUCCUUGAACCGCAUGGUUCAAGGAUGAAAGACGGUUUCGGCUGUCACUUACAGAUGGACCCGCGGCGCAUUAGCUAGUUGGUGGGGUAAUGGCUCACCAAGGCGACGAUGCGUAGCCGACCUGAGAGGGUGAUCGGCCACACUGGGACUGAGACACGGCCCAGACUCCUACGGGAGGCAGCAGUAGGGAAUCUUCCGCAAUGGACGAAAGUCUGACGGAGCAACGCCGCGUGAGUGAUGAAGGUUUUCGGAUCGUAAAGCUCUGUUGUUAGGGAAGAACAAGUGCGAGAGUAACUGCUCGCACCUUGACGGUACCUAACCAGAAAGCCACGGCUAACUACGUGCCAGCAGCCGCGGUAAUACGUAGGUGGCAAGCGUUGU
rnacentral:rRNA from 1 species